rnacentral:lncRNA from 1 species
GGUGACCCUGGUUCAGGGUCUCUCCUGAGGUAGGGUGCAUGACUUUGGUCCAGGUCUCUCCUGAGGUAGGGUGGGGGACUUUGGUCCGGUGCUCUCCUGAGGUACGGUGGGUGACUUUGGUCCAGCGUCUCUCCUGAGGUAGGGUGGGUGACUUUGGUCCGGGGUCCCUCCUGAGGUUUUGGUCACAUACUGUCUGGGCUGCAGUCCUUUGAGGAUAUGACCAGCUGGAGAGUCCAUUUCCAAGGACUUUUGUAUGUGUCUCCCUCACAUGGCUGGCUGCUGACCAGAGGCCUCAGUCCCUGUCAGGGCCUCUCCACCAGGCUCUUUGAGCAUCCCUGCUGCAUCCUCUAGAGUGAGCAUCCCAAAAGAGCCAAGCAGAAGCUCCCGAGCCUUUUAUGACCUGGUCUCAGAAGUCACAGCAUUACUUCCACCAUAUUCCAGUGGUCACACAGGCCAACCUAGAUUCAGUGUAAGAGCAGGCUACCCAAGGCCAAGCAUACCUGUACCAGAAGGGAUCACGAGGUCAUCUUGGAAGCUGGCUAGGACCUUGGAGGGAGGAGCCCUAUGAGACCAAAGCUUGGAUUUUUAAAGUGGGGUUGUUUGUUUUUGAGGGGCACCUGGGUGGCUCAGUCAGUUAAGCAUCUGCCUUUGGCUCGGGUCACGAUCCCAGAGUCUGGGAUCGAGCCCAUGUGUCAAUCUCCCUACUUAGCAGAGAGUCUGCUUCUCUCUCUCGCCCACCCCACUCAUGCUUUCUCUCAAAUAAAUAAUCUUUAAAAAAAAUAAAGUUUUAGGGUGAGUGAGUGGCUCAGUCGGUUGGGCAUCUGCCUUCAGCUCAGGUCAUGAUUCCUGGGAUCGAGUCCCAUGUUGGGCUCCCUGCUCAGUGGGGAGUCUGCUUCUCCCUCUGCCACUCCCCUGCUUGUUCUCUCUCUCUCUUUCUCUCUCAAAAAUAAAUAUAAAUAUUUAAAAAUAAAUGAACUUUUAAGAAAUAAAGGUGUUUUUGGGGGGAGGGAUUGGAGAGCACACAAGCAGAGGAGGGGCAGAAGGAGAGAGAAUCUUAAGCAUGUUCACACCCAGUGCAGAGCAUGACUCAGGGCUCGAUUUCACCAUCCUGCGAUCAUGACCUAAGCCAAAAUCAAGCCUAACGCUUAACCGACUGAGCCACCCAGAUGCCUCUGCAGUGCUUGGAUCUUUGAUGUGUGUUGGCAGGAGGGUUGGAUCCUAAGCAGUUGAUGCUGGAAUUUCUAAGAAGGUGGGUGCAGAAAUGGUAGUGCUGGAGCCAAAAAUCUGCCCCUGCUGACUGUGCAGGAGGGCACAAGAAAGUCCCUUCCCUUUUUGCACUUCCAGGUCUCCCCCAGGUGGCCCCUAUUAGCAGGCCAACCUUAACAGGAAACCGGCUGCCAGGGAAGCCUGGGAAAUGUAGUUUUCAGCGGUCCAACAACAGCAUCACAGAAAGUGGGAGGGGAGUGGGUUUAGGGCUGAGACAGGGUAACUAGCACAGUCCACCCCAUUAGCUACCUGUCACCCAUACACAUCUUUCUACCAUAAUAAUUAUGGUACUCUUAACAACUUCAGGCUACCCCCAACUAGGAGCAAGGAUCCUUGUGCCUAGACACACCCUUCUCUUCCUAAAAGGGAGGGAUAGCAGCAUGCUAGAGUCAUAUCCAUCACUCAGAUUCCACUUGCUUGUUCCAUAACUAAAAUAGUGAAGUUCACCACCAAUAUCAUCAAAACGUUUACAUCAAAUAAGGGAAGGGAGGGUAGGUAGCUGAUGGACACACAAGCAAAGAAGAAAAUAUCCAGAGUUGCUGCAGCCCGUACUUCCAGAACUGGUUCUGAUGUCUUAAUUGGUUUUUAACACUUAAAAUGAGACACAAUUCACAUGCAAGUCACCUACUUCUAAAGUAGUUUCUAUGUCUUCAGAGCUGUGUGACCAUCACCAGUUUAAUUUUAGAACAUUUUCAUUGCCCGGAAGGAGAGCCUAUGCCUAUUAAGUCAUCUCUAAUACCCCACACACAUAGUUCAUCCGUCCCCCAGCCCUAGGCAACCCCUAAUCCGCUUUCUGUCUCGGGAGAUAGAUAUGCUUUGGUCAUUCAAUAUCUAGUCUUCUGUGCCUGAUCUUUCAGUAUAUUUUCAGGGUUCAUCCAUGUCCUAGCAUGUAUCAGUGCUUAAUCCCUUCUUGUACAGAAUAAUGUUCCAUUGUAUGGAUAUACCACUACUUAUCUGUUCAUCAGUUGGGCAUGUGAUCUGUUUCCAUUUAUUGGUUCUUAUGAACAAUGCCACUAAGAAACUUGGUGCAUGAGUUUUUGUGCAAAUACGUUUCCAUUUUACUUGGCUAUAUGUUCCAGAAUUUUGAGGGAACUUCCAAAUUGUUCUCGACAUCAGCUGUGCCAUUUUACAUUCCUACCAGCAAUGUGUGAGGGUUUCAACUUCUUCUGUCCUUGCUAACACUUAUUAUUGUCUGUCAUUUUUAUUACAGCCUUCCUUGGAAGUGUGAGGUGGUACCUUGUGGUUCUGAACCGCAUUCCCUUAAUGACCAAUGAUGUUGAUCACCUUUUCAUGUGCUCACUGGCCAUUAGUGUAUCUUCUCUAGAGGAAUGUCUGUUCAAGUCCUUUGCCCAUUUUUAUUUUUUUAAGAUUUUAUUUAUUUGACAAAGAGCACAAGCAGGGGGAGCAGCAGGCAGAGGGAGAGGGAGAAGCAGGCUCCCCACAGAGCAGGGAGCUCAACGCAGGGCUCAAUCCCAGGACCCCAGGUUCAUGAGCUGAGCCAAAGGUAGAUGCUUAACCGAACCACCCUGGCAACCCUCCUUUGCCUAUUUUUAAUUGGAUUAUCUCUCUUUUUAUUAUUGAGUUGUAAGUGUUCUUUAAAUAUUUCGGGUACAAAUCCCUUAUCAGACACAUGAUUUGCAAAUAUUUUCUCCCAGUCUGUGGUUGUCUUCUCACUGUCUUGAUAGUGUCCUAUGACGUAUGGAAGUUUUAAAUGUUGAUGAAAUGGAUGGAUGGCUUAAAAGACACAAACAGCUAAAACUCACCAAAGAAGAAAUAGAAAAUGUGACUGAUCAUUUGCCAAAUGAACUAAAUUUAUAGUUUAAAACCC